GAUGAACGCUGGCGGCGUGCUUAACACAUGCAAGUCGAACGGAAAGGCGCUGCAUUUGUGGGGUGUUCGAGUGGCGAACGGGUGAGUAACACGUGAGUAGCCUGCCCUUGACUUUGGGAUAACUUCAGGAAGCAGGGUAUAAUACCGGCUAGGAGCUCCUGCGGCAGGGUGGGGGUGGGAAAGUGUCGGCGGGUGGGGAUGGACUCGCGGCUCAGCAGCUUGUGGUGGGGGGAGUGGCUCACACAGGCUUAGACGGGUGGCCGGCCUGGGAGGGGGACCAGCCACCAUGGGCCUGCGGGACGGCCCAGUCUCCAACGGGACGCAGCAGUGGGGAGCAUUGCACAAUGGGCCGACGCCUGAUGCAGCAACGCCGCGUGCGUGAUGACGGCCUUCGUGUUGUAAACCGCUUUCGCCUGUGACGAAGCGUGAGUGACGGUAAUGGGUAAAGAAGCACCGGCUAACUACGUG
rnacentral:rRNA from 1 species